rnacentral:rRNA from 1 species
GACGAACGCGGCGGCGUGCCUAAUACAUGCAAGUAGAACGCACAGUUUAUACCGUAGCUUGCUACACCAUAGACUGUGAGUUGCGAACGGGUGAGUAACGCGUAGGUAACCUGCCUGGUAGCGGGGGAUAACUAUUGGAAACGAUAGCUAAUACCGCAUAAUAUUAAUUAUUGCAUGAUAAUUAAUUGAAAGGUGCAAUUGCACCACUACCAGAUGGACCUGCGUUGUAUUAGCUAGUAGGUGAGGUAACGGCUCACCUCGGCGACGAUACAUAGCCGACCUGAGAGGGUGAUCGGCCACACUGGGACUGAGACACGGCCCAGACUCCUACGGGAGGCAGCAGUAGGGAAUCUUCGGCAAUGGACGAAAGUCUGACCGAGCAACGCCGCGUGAGUGAAGAAGGUUUUCGGAUCGUAAAGCUCUGUUGUAAGAGAAGAACGGGUGUGAGAGUGGAAAGUUCACACUGUGACGG